GCUCACUUGGUGAAAAGGUAUACACGACAGAUUUAAAAUCUGUUCCCAAUGGGGUAUCGGUUCAAGUCCGAUAGUGAGCA
rnacentral:tRNA from 1 species